UGUAACCACGUUAUGUCCAAAUAAGGUAAUGUAACCACGUUAUGCCCAAAUAAGGUAAUGGAGCCCGUAUCAGAGGUUCCUCUGAGGGAUGUGGGAAAGUGGGCUGAGAAGAACCUCGGGGUCAAACCAGUCACAAGACAGUUAACUCUAUGGGCCAACCUCUAUAACCAGAAGUACUUAACCAACAAAAGCACCAUACGGCCCUUCCUACACAUUAGCGCCGUGUUGGUGGGGACUGGGUUCCUCCUCAACUACAAGCACCAAGUACCAUGGAAGGAACACCACUGAUUAUUGGAAAUACUAGUUACAAACACAGCCAUGUGGGACUGAUACCACCUGUAGAAGAGUUAGAAUUAUUAUACGGACCCUUUCGAGGAGUGAAGUUUUUACCACUCAUUUUUGUUUGAUUGCAUUUUCCAAUUACUAUUUUGUGUGAAUUUUGGGCCUCAAUGCUAAACUUUGUUUUUCCAGUCAUAAUUUAUUUCCUAACUCAAGUUAUUUAAUAGUUUUUGUAUAUUUGUAUUUUGAACCUAUUGAGUACGCAUAGCUUAAA